AAUAAAUCUAAUCCCUAAAACACGCAUGCAGGCGCGCAUAGUCAAAACCCCUCCUACUAUCCUGCCUCCAUCGAUUUCUUUCUCAUUUCUCCCUUUUCUGAACUCUAAAAAUAUCGUCUCUCGUCUGUUGGCCGUCGCGCCUCCAGCUUACUCAAUCUGCCCAUCUUUCAGAGUGUAUCAAGUCACUCUAACUCAGACCCUCUCGUCUCUCGUCAGCCUCCUCCCAUCUAACCAAAGCAGCCCUUGCAAGGCUGAGUGUUGUGCAUAGGAGUCUGAAAGUUGCCAAGUCUGGUGUUAAGAAGAGGAACAAGCCUUGAAGAUCUAUGUCAAUAAGGUGCCUUGGAUUCUUUAUGUCUUCAAUCACCAGCACGUACUUCCAAUGCCAUUGUUGUUUUCUUCCUUAAAGUAGUUGCAUAACUUGCUUAUCCUAUUCGAGCAGCUUUACUUUAGUGUCGAGCUUACUUGCUGUCAGUAAUGUCUCCUUAAGAUGGAGAGUUCUCCAUUGACUUUGUCUGUAUGUUCACAUGUGCAACAGUAUUUUGAAAGUUGAUUUCCAUUUUUGCUUCUUAAUGCGAAUAUAACACCCUUAUCCCGAA